rnacentral:misc_RNA from 1 species
AAAAAAUAAUAAUAAUAAUAAUCGUAUACACAAAUUUCAUAUGUUUUUUCAUGGUUUUUAAUUUUGCCAAUUGAAAGAUUAUCUUCAAUCUUCACCAGAACACAAUAUCUCUUUGAUCCUCUAACAAAUCCAGAGCCUGAGAAACCAUACAAGAAUCCAUGUUGCUAUUUUACUAUCUAUCUUGAACGAAUGGGCUCUUCAUCUAUGGUUUCCAACAAUGGCUUCCUUGACCUUGACAUGGAAAUCCUAUGCCUAAACUCUGGUGUUGAAACUUCUUCUAUACCUUCCAAG